UUUUUAUAUGGAUUUUUGAUUGAACCGGUUUUUUGUUAAUUUAUGGUUUUACUAAAAUAUCCUUUCCUUAUAUUUCUCAAUUACUUUUAAUCUUAUCUUAUUUUUUGUUUGUAUUUUCGUUUCUUCCAUAAUGUUUGCCGUUUUUUUGCCUUUUUUUUUCGAAAAUUAUAUAUAUUUUUUGAAUUAUUUUUUUUUCGAAUUUUUUUAUUUUUCUUUUAAAAUUUCCUUUCUUAAAUUCCUCAACUACUUUUAAUCUUAUCCUAUUUAUCUUGUAUUUUAGUUUUUUUUCCCUAUUUUUCGGUUUAUUCGAAAAUUGUUUUUUUUCUUCUGAAAAGUGAAAAUUUUAUGAUUUUUUUCGAAUUGUUAUUUAUUUAUUUUUUUCUGAGAUUUUAUUAUGUUUUUCCGACGAAUUUAUGAAUUGUUGUAAACAUAAUCCUAUAGUAAUUAUUUUUGCAUAUAUUAUUUUUUUAUUGUUCCGAAAAUAUUUUUUUUCGAAAAUAAUUUUUUUUAAUUUAUCUCAUUUGUUUUUCGAAUUUUAUUUUAUUUUUUUCAAAAAUUUAUGAAUUGACUAUGUUUUCUUUUAAAUUUGUUCGAUUAUUGAGGGUUCUAUUUUCAGCCAAUUUUUUUUUCCGAAAAUUGUAUUAAUUUUUUUGAUUUGUUUUCAUUAGAAUAUCCUUUCCAAAAUUAUCUCAUCCGUUUUUUAGUAUUAUAUUCGAUUUUAAUUGUUUCUGUUAUUUUUUUCUUCUGUAAUUUUAUUUUAUUUUUUUGAAAAUUGUAUUUUUUUGGAUUUGUUUCCUUUAAUAUGGGGAUUCUCCUAAAAACCAAUUAGAUUUACUUCCACACAUAUUAUAUGUUCCAAAAAUUAAUUAUUUAUAUUUUUCGAUUAUAUUUUAUUCAUUUUUUUUACAUUUAUUUUAGGAUUCUCUUAAAAAAUAAUUGUAGAUUGUUUUCAUACGUAUUAUUUUUCUUGAAAAUUCUAUUAUUUAUUUUCCCUCUUGGUGCUCUAAGG
rnacentral:lncRNA from 1 species